ACAGUCACACAUUAGAUACCCGCGUAGUCCUAGCCGUAAACGNUACUCGCUAGGUGUCGGCCACGGUGCGACCGUUGUCGGUGCCGUAGGGAAGCCGUGAAGCGAGCCACCUGGGAAGUACGGCCGCAAGGCUGAAACUUAAAGGAAUUGGCGGGGGAGCACAACAACGGGUGGAGCUUGCGGUUUAAUUGGAUUCAACGCCGGAAAUCUUACCGGGACCGACAGCAACAUGAAGGCCAAGCUGAAGACUUUGCCGGAUUAGCUG
rnacentral:rRNA from 1 species